rnacentral:misc_RNA from 1 species
AACGGUCUAUACCUGCGGUACCUGCGGAGGGAUCAUUACAGAAAUAAACUUGAUGGAUUUUCGUUGCUGGCUCUUGCAAGUGCACGUCCAUCAUUUUUAUCUUUCCACCAUGUGCACCCCCGCGUAGGUCUGGUUUUUGGGAAUUGCAAAAAUGCUCUCUCCCUAUAUAUUUUCAGGCCCUAUGCUUUUUUUUACACACCCCAUGUAUGUUAACGAACGAAAAUCAAGGGCUUUUUGCCU